GGUGCCGUGUGUAAGGGCAACACCUACCACUACACAACUGUAAAACGGUUGCAACCCUGAUCGCAAUCUUGCUGUUAGCUGAUUUGGCAUCGCUCACUACGCGUAAACACACUUCACCGCAACCUGUUUUUCCGUUUUGUUUCGCCGCACAAGCAAUACGCCGUGUGUAGUACCUUCCAAGAGUGGAACAAAAGGAGGACGUGGAGGACGGUCAGCCUCUCCCCGCAUCUACCACAGGUUGGAGGCUCGUUUCCCGCCAGCAAGUCAUGCAUUGCUACAUAAAUAUGCGACUGCUAAUUCUGGGUAUCAUCAGCUUUGCUGUUCUGGCUAUUGCACAUGGAUACCCCGGAUCAAGCCCGGAUGUUGUCUUGGUAGCACGAAAUGACGAAGAACGUGAAGGCUUCCUGGAUGGCGUCAAUGAUUUCUUUCAGCCUGCAGCAGAUGCCAUUCAGCAUUACGUAUUUGAUCCUAUAAAGAACUUCUUCGGCGCUGGCUCGGACAGCAACGAGUAAUCUACGUUAUUCCUUCGAAAUCGCAUUAAAGUGCAAAAUGCUGUGCAGUUUUACGAAAGACCGCUGUUGACGCCACAAGCAAGUCACGACCGCGGUCCUGUUGCACUUCUUUAAAGGAUUAGUUUGGCAGUUCAUUGUGUUGGAAAACACUCGCGCAUAAGGCAAACUUGUAACUUGGCCGCUUUGGGUUAACUGUUGGGCACAUCUUAUGGUACUUGCUAUAUGACGUGUUUUGCUGUUAUUCUUUCUUUUCUGGAUGGUGUCUAACUUUCUGGGUUUUUGUAUAAAAAUAAACUGCAAAAAAGAAUUACGCGUGACAUUGUCACCGAGGCACAAGUACUGUGUUACUCGUCACACCUGAAGAGACACAGCGCUAUGGUCGCAUAUGA